rnacentral:misc_RNA from 1 species
GUCUCCGUAGGUGAACCUGCGGAGGGAUCAUUACAGAGUUCACGCCCUCGCGGGUAGAUCUCCCACCCACUGUUAUCGUUACUGUGUUGCUUUGGCGGGCCGCCGGGCCCCGCUCGGCCGCCGGCUCCGGCUGGCGCGCGCCCGCCAGAGGCCCAGCAAACUCUGAAUGUUAGUGUCGUCUGAGUACUAUAUAAUAGUUAAAACUUUCAACAACGGAUCUCUUGGUUCUG